rnacentral:rRNA from 1 species
UGGGGAAUCUUGCGCAAUGGUCGAAAGACUGACGCAGCGACGCCGCGUGGGCGACGAAGGCCUUCGGGUUGUAAAGCCCUGUGGGGCGGGACGAACAAGCGGCGGGUGAACAACCCAUCGCCCUGACGGUACCGCCUUAGCAAGCACCGGCUAACUCUGUGCCAGCAGCCGCGGUAAGACAGAGGGUGCGAACGUUGCUCGGAAUUACUGGGCGUAAAGCGCGUGCAGGUGGCCCGGCACGUCCGGUGUGAAAGCCCGGGGCUCAACCCCGGAAGCGCGCUGGAAACGACCGGGCUGGAGGGCUGGAGAGGCGGGCGGAAUUCCCGGUGUAGAGGUGAAAUUCGUAGAUAUCGGGAGGAACACCGGUGGCGAAGGCGGCCCGCUGGACAGCGCCUGACACUGAGACGCGAAAGCGUGGGUAGCAAACAGGAUUAGAUACCCCCGUAGUCC